AGCUACAUUUACGUGUUCAACGAAUGUUCCUAAAAAUUAUAUUUGCAUUAUUGAGGUUGAAAUAUCAGUUUCUUGUAAUCGUAACUUGUUUAAAGAAGGGUGGAUACUCCAACUUGCAUUUUGUAAUGUGGUUCAAAUAUUUAUAACAAUGUAGCAUUUCACUACGAGGGUGUUAAAACGUAACAAAGACCUCCACCCUUCAAUCUAAAAUAGACCACUAAUAUUUGGAAAUGGAUUGGAAGCAAAUUGGAACAAUUUUUUGUGUAUAAAGAUGACAUAUUUUAUCAGAAAAACAGUCUUUCGUGUAAAAAACUUGU